UCCGCACAACACUAAAAAAUUUCUUUGAGCAGAAUAGAAUUCCGGUCUAGGACUGAGCCUCCUAAGCAGUGUCGCUAGAUUUCUCCUCGAAGCUAGCCCGUCCUAUCGAUCAACUUGAACGACUGAAUCAAAUCAGAGUAAUAAUUGCAACAAGUUCCCGGGGAGAACACUGAAAGAGGUGGGGAGACUUCGCUUGGGUUACCAUACGAUGCAUCAAAGAAAGAGGAAGAAGCACGAGAGCUGAAAGAAGAAGGUUCAGAUCUGGAGACAUAAGUAUUGGUGCCAAGUUACCUUCGUUAGGUCUUCAAGCCUACGCCUUGGUUCAGUCAACAAUUGAACAAGCGAUUAAGACACAUUGAGGGUCACGGGAAAGAGAAUCUCACGGGAAACAUCAAUUGGGAGAUCGUAGGAGUCAACACCUUAAUAAAGCUCAAGUCCUGAAGAAAUUAUUUACAAAGCACCACAAAAAGGAAGGAAUAAAGGCUGACAUGGAAACAGAUUAGAUCAAUGAAGGAAGAUCUUGAAACAAAGCUGACCAUAACGAGAGCUAAGCUCAACGACACACACAAGGGUUACGAAAAUCUUAAUCAUCACAUCUAAAGAAACAACAAUACUUUCUUUUGUCUAUAAAUCUCAUCACUUUCUUAUGAGUUUUUUGCACUGUUGAAACAGCUAAACCAAUGCAAUUCUAAAAAUGUUAAUAAAGAGAUUCACAAUACACACACUAAGAGCAAGUCCAUCGGCGUCUCUUCCCGAAAAGUUUAA